rnacentral:rRNA from 1 species
GUACGAAGGGGCUAGCGUUGUUCGGAAUUACUGGCGUAAAGGCGCGCGCAGGCGGCUAUCCAAGUCAGUGGUGAAAGCCCGGAGCUCAACUCCGGAACUGCCAUUGAAACUGUUAGCUAGAGGACGAGAGAGGUGAGUGAAUUCCAGUGUAGAGGUGAAAUUCGUAGAUAUUGGAAGAACACCGGUGGCGAAGGCGGCUCACUGGCUCGUUUCUGACGCUCAGGCGCGACAGCGUGGGAGUC